GAAAUGCGAUAAGUAAUGUGAAUUGCAGAAUUCAGUGAAUCAUCGAAUCUUUGAACGCACCUUGCGCUCCUUGGUAUUCCUUGGAGCAUGCCUGUUUGAGUAUCAUGAAAUCUUCAAAGUAAAUCUUUUGUUAACUCAAUUGGUUUCUACUUUGGUAUUGGAGGUCUUUGCAGGUUCACACCUGCUCCUCUUUGUUCAUUAGCUGGAUCUCAGUGUUAUGCUUGGUUCCACUCGGCGUGAUAAGUUAUCUAUCGCUGAGGACACUGUAAAAGGUGGCCAAGGUAAAUGCAGAUGAACCGCUUCUAAUAGUCCAUUGACUUGGACAAUACUUUUAUGAUCUGAUCUCAAAUCAGGUAGGACUACCCGCUGAACUUAAGC
rnacentral:misc_RNA from 1 species